rnacentral:rRNA from 1 species
UUGUGAAAUCUAAUGGCUUAACCAUUAAACUGCUUGGGAAACUGAUAGUCUAGAGUGAGGGAGAGGCAGAUGGAAUUGGUGGUGUAGGGGUAAAAUCCGUAGAUAUCACCAAGAAUACCCAUUGCGAAGGCGAUCUGCUGGAACUCAACUGACGCUAAGGCGCGAAAGCGUGGGGAGCAAACAGGAUUAGAUACCCUGGUAGUCCACGCCCUAAACGAUGUACACUAGUUGUUGGGAUGCUAGUCAUCUCAGUAAUGCAGCUAACGCAUUAAGUGUACCGCCUGGGGAGUACGGUCGCAAGAUUAAAACUCAAAGGAAUAGACGGGGACCCGCACAAGCGGUGGAGCAUGUGGUUUAAUUCGAAGAUACGCGAAGAACCUUACCUGGGCUUGAUAUCCUAAGAACCUUAUAGAGAUAUGAGGGUGCUAGCUUGCUAGAACUUAGAGACAGGUGCUGCACGGCUGUCGUCAGCUCGUGUCGUGAGAUGUUGGGUUAAGUCCCGCAACGAGCGCAACCCACGUAUUUAGUUGCUAACGGUUCGGCCGAGCACUCUAAAUAGACUGCCUUCGUAAGGAGGAGGAAGGUGUGGACGACGUCAAGUCAUCAUGGCCCUUAUGCCCAGGGCGACACACGUGCUACAAUGGCAUAUACAAUGAGACGCAAUACCGCGAGGUGGAGCAAAUCUAUAAAAUAUGUCCCAGUUCGGAUUGUUCUCUGCAACUCGAGAGCAUGAAGCCGGAAUCGCUAGUAAUCGUAGAUCAGCCAUGCUACGGUGAAUACGUUCCCGGGUCUUGUACUCACCGCCCGUCACACCAUGGGAGUUGAUUUCACUCGAAGCCGGAAUACUAAACUAGUUACCGUCCACAGUGGAAUCAGCGACUGGGGUGAAGUCGUAACAAGGUAACCGUAGGAGAACCUGCGGUUGGAUCACCUCCUUUCUA